rnacentral:rRNA from 11 species
GCAUAACCUAAAUAAUACCCUAUGACACCAGAUCCUAUCUGAACUUGGAAGGUAAGUAGCGUCAGUUCUGGUUAUUAUUUGAAUGGGAGAUUGCCAACAAAUACCAAGAGCUGUAAGCU